ACAUUAACCUAGCAGGGAGGACACCACGAUCAGGAAGGUGGCUUUCCCAGGGCCAGGCUCACUUACACGCACUCCAGGUGUGCUGACCCCUGCGACUUCCCCAGAUGCAGGAAACUCAACUGCAUAACUAGUGGGCGGGCGAGGGGGGCAUUUUUUU
rnacentral:snRNA from 1 species